rnacentral:rRNA from 1 species
GUCGAACGGUAACAGGAAGCAGCUUGCUGCUUCGCUAACGAGUGGCGGACGGGUGAGUAAUGUCUGGGAAACUGCCUGAUGGAGGGGGAUAACUACUGGAAACGGUAGCUAAUACCGCAUAACGUCGCAAGACCAAAGAGGGGGACCUUCGGGCCUCUUGCCAUCGGAUGUGCCCAGAUGGGAUUAGCUAGUAGGUGGGGUAACGGCUCACCUAGGCGACGAUCCCUAGCUGGUCUGAGAGGAUGACCAGCCACACUGGAACUGAGACACGGUCCAGACUCCUACGGGAGGCAGCAGUGGGGAAUAUUGCACAAUGGGCGCAAGCCUGAUGCAGCCAUGCCGCGUGUAUGAAGAAGGCCUUCGGGUUGUAAAGUACUUUCAGCGGGGAGGAAGGCGAUAAGGUUAAUAACCUUGUCGAUUGACGUUACCCGCAGAAGAAGCACCGGCUAACUCCGUGCCGGCAGCCGCGGUAAUACGGAGGGUGCAAGCGUUAAUCGGAAUUACUGGGCGUAAAGCGCACGCAGGCGGUCUGUCAAGUCGGACGUGAAAUCCCCGGGCUCAACCUGGGAACUGCAUUCGAAACUGGCAGGCUAGAGUCUUGUAGAGGGGGGUAGAAUUCCAGGUGUAGCGGUGAAAUGCGUAGAGAUCUGGAGGA